UACAGAGGGUGCGAGCGUUGUUCGGAAUUAUUGGGCGUAAAGGGCGCGUAGGCGGUGCGGUAAGUCACCUGUGAAAUCUCCCGGCUCAACCGGGAGCUUGCAGGCGAAACUGCCGUGCUGGAGUGUGGGAGAGGUGCGUGGAAUUCCGAGUGUAGAGGUGAAAUUCGUAGAUAUUCGGAAGAACACCAGUGGCGAAGGCGACUUACUGGACCAUAACUGACGCUGAUGCACGAAAGCUAGGGGAGCAAACAGG
rnacentral:rRNA from 1 species